GACGAACGCUGGCGGCGUGCUUAACACAUGCAAGUCGAACGGAAAGGCCCUGCUUUUGUGGGGUGCUCGAGUGGCGAACGGGUGAGUAACACGUGAGUAACCUGCCUUGGCUUUGGGAUAACUUCAGGGAACUGGGGGUAAUACCGGAAAGGAGCUCCUGCUGCAUGGGGGGGGGUGGGAAGUUUCGGCGGUUGGGGAUGGACUCGCGGCUUAUCAGCUUGUUGGUGGGGUAGUGGCUUACCAAGGCUUUGACGGGUAGCCGGCCUGAGAGGGUGACCGGCCACAUUGGGACUGAGAUACGGCCCAGACUCCUACGGGAGGCAGCAGUGGGGAAUAUUGCACAAUGGGCGGAAGCCUGAUGCAGCAACGCCGCGUGCGGGAUGACGGCCUUCGGGUUGUAAACCGCUUUCGCCUGUGACGAAGCGUGAGUGACGGUAAUGGGUAAAGAAGCACCGGCUAACUACGUG
rnacentral:rRNA from 1 species